rnacentral:rRNA from 1 species
GACGAACGCUGGCGGCGUGCUUAACACAUGCAAGUCGAACGAUGAAGAAAAGAAUUGAAGCUUCGGCAGAAAUUCAUUUCGGAUUAGUGGCAGACGGGUGAGUAACGCGUGAGCAACCUACCUCUUACAAAGGGAUAGCCUCGGGAAACCGGGAUCACUACCAUAUAACAUUGCGACGAAGCAUUUCGAUGCAAUCAAAGCUACGGCGGUAAGAGAUGGGCUCGGGUCCCAUUAACCCGUUGGGGAGGUAACGGCUCACCAUAGUAACGAUGGGUAACCGGCCUGAGAGGGUGAACGGUCACACUGGAACUGAGACACGGUCCAGACUCCUACGGGAGGCAGCAGUGGGGAAUAUUGAACAAUGGAGGGAACUCUGAUGCAGCGACGCCGCGUGAGUGAUGAAGGAAUUCGUUUCGUAAAACUCUGUUCUAUGGGAAGAAAAGGACUGUACCAUAGGAGAAAGCUCCGGCUAAAUACGUG